rnacentral:tRNA from 1 species
AUUUAUAUAGUAUAAAUAAUUAUAUUUGACUUCCAAUCAAAAGAUCUAUAAAUAGUAUAAAUA